rnacentral:siRNA from 1 species
CAUGUCUUUGAACUUCAUUGUGAC